CCUGGUUUCCUAGUUGUGGUCCUCUUUGGGAAGGCUGUGGAACCUCUAGGAGGUGGAGCCUUGCUGGAGGAAGUGUGUCACUGGGGGCGGGACUAAAGGCUUUGAAGGCGGCGCCAUUUCCUGUUUGCCCUGUUUCCUGACUAAGGAUGCAAUGUGACCAGCUGUUUCAGGCGUGACCCCCCCUGCUGUGACAAACGCAUCCCCUUGCACUGCGAGCCACAGUCUCUCUGGCUCCAUGAAGGAGCUUAGACAUGCUGCCCAGGAUACUGUCUUUAUGGUUCCUUGACGUGGAUUUUCUUUCCCUUGUCAUCCCCACCCCUCCACCAGCUGAACGUCAGGCGUUCUCAGACAUUUCCCUCUGCCUACCACACCCAGGUGGUGGCUGCCAAGGCCACAGGUAGUACACACCCAUGGCCACAGCUGUCACCAGGGAGCUACCGAGGGAAGAGGGAGAAGACCCUUAGCUUUGCAGGGAGGAAAGUUUGCUGAGAGCCCUGGGUGUGAGGCACCUCCCACAGCUCCCCUUCAAACAGAACAGGAGGCCCCCGCUCUGGAGCUCUGCCAGGAAUCUCCUCAGAAAGGCAUGGCAGCCAGCGCUCUGCCCACGGCCUGCCGGGGCCACACUGGGUGGUGAAAAUAAAAUCAACAGCUAACGAGGUGCUUUUUGAGCCCUCAGGGAAGAGAUGGGCAUGCAGCUGGGCAACUCGAGGAAAAUGUCUUCUGCCUGGUGAACAUCCCCCCCCCCAUAUUACUAUCUACCAUGUGUGUGUGCGUGUGUAGAUGUGUAGAGGGGGUGUUUCUAGAACGAAUGCCGAUCCUAGCCUAAUGCUCCCCCAGACAGACAGCCUCCCGCUUUCAGGAUUCCCAGCGAGGUCUGCUCUGAUACUUGUGUUUAUGCCACCCUCUGCUGGUACCAGUUAUCACUGCACCUACCCAGUGCCCGCAACAGUGGGGGAGCCAGACUGGAUGUCACACUUGCUGCUCUUCCUGGCAGGAGUGGACGCUGGGGUGGAAGGUCGACUCCCAGCCUCUGCAUUGCGGUGACCUCGUUGGCCCCCAUGCAGGCAGUCAAGAACCGAGAAUGCCUCCGAAUAAUAUCAUAGUGCCAGCUAACGUUUAUUUGCUUAAUAUUUCAGGGUUGGUAACCAUAUAUGCUUAAUUUAUCUGUUUAUCUGCUUCUCUUUAUGCACUUUAUAUUUGUGGGCAAGGUUUAUUUUCCCCAUGCCAAAGGGUUUCCUUGAUUUGUCUCCCUCAACUCUCUCGUAAUUCUGCGAGCUGGUUUUACUUUCCCUAUAGCAUUCUAGAGCACGGCGCUGAAGCAUUCUGAGAGCCACACUCUGGCAACGGGCAGGGCUGGGGUUUGAGUCCAGGUAAGCCUGGCUUUAGGGCCUGUGUGCCAUUUCAUUGGUGGCUCCGUGACUUCAGAGAACAUGCAGAUUGCUAAUAAUUGCCUGUUAAAGGGCUGGUGUCAGGGCCCAGGUGAUCUGGCUCUCCAGUAAGCCAGGGAAUCUGCAUUAUAACAUGCCCAGAGGUGACAUUGCCCUGGAAGCUGUA